UGGGGAAUAUUGCACAAUGGGCGCAAGCCUGAUGCAGCAACGCCGCGUGAACGAUGAAGGUCUUCGGAUCGUAAAGUUCUGUUGCAGGGGAAGAUAAUGACGGUACCCUGUGAGGAAGCCCCGGCUAACUACGUGCCAGCAGCCGCGGUAAUACGUAGGGGGCUAGCGUUAUCCGGAUUUACUGGGCGUAAAGGGUGCGUAGGUGGUCUUUCAAGUCGGUGGUUAAAGGCUACGGCUCAACCGUAGUUAGCCUCCGAAACUGGAAGACUUGAGUGCAGGAGAUGAAAGUGGCAUUCCCAGUGUAGCGGUGAAAUGCGUAGAUAUUGGGAGGAAUACCGGUGGCGAAGGCGACUUUCUGGACUUGAACUGACGCUGAGGCACGAAAGCGUGGGGAGCAAACAGG
rnacentral:rRNA from 1 species